rnacentral:rRNA from 1 species
GACGAACGCUGGCGGCGUGCUUAACACAUGCAAGUCGAACGGAAAGGCCCUGCUUUUGUGGGUUGCUCGAGUGGCGAACGGGUGAGUAACACGCGUGUAACCUGCACUUGUCUUUGGGAUAACUUCAGGAAACUGGGGCUAAUACCGGAUAGGAGCUCCUGCUGCAUGGUGGGGGUUGGAAAGAUUCGGCGUUUGGGGAUGGACUCGCGGGUUAACAGCUUGUUGGUGGGGUAGUGGGUUACCAAGGUUUUGACGGGUACCAGGCCUGAGCGGGUGACCGGCCAUAUUGGGACUGACGUGCGGCAGAGGUUGCUACUGUAGGGAGCAGGGGGGAAGAUUGCACGAUGAGCGGAGGCCUGAUGCAGAAACGCCGCGGGCGGGAUGACGGCCUUCGUAUUGUAAACCGCAUGUGCCAGUGACGAAGCGUGUGUGGAGGGAAUGGGUAAAGAAGGACCGGCUAACUUCGGG